ensembl:lncRNA
CCCAGUCAGAAAAAAGUAUUUAUGCAAAGGCUCUAUAGAUUUUAAGUGUUUUAAGAGUUUUGUUGGCUAGUUUAUUUAUUUACUUCACACAAUGUGAAAAAGCUCUCUGGCUACUUGGGCAAUGGAUUGUGGUGGUGUGAGACUGGAAGCUAGUGGGCUUAGCAGAGAUUGUUCUUUUGUCCAGGUGACUUGAUGGUGGCUUGUAGCUGGCAGUUGUCAAGAUGGAAAGACAUGGACAGAUUUACAACAUAUUUUAGAGAAGAUAUCAACAGAACUGGUAGCUUAGGAAGCACCAGGAACAUCUGGAGAGGGAAAAAAAGUGGCUUUGGAAAGCUGUUCAACUCGCAAAACACUGAGGCUGAGCAAACAUUCCAGCUUUCCCUCGCUGGCCAUCACUCACACCCAAUGUAUUUAUUCUUUUUCUCCGACAAGAGAGCAACAUUUGGAAUAGCUCAAGCUGCUGAGUUAAUCAUCGAGACGCCGUGGGGAUGUUUUAAGCCAUGGGCCUACUCUCCUCGUAUGAUUUGGAAUCAACACAACCACCAGGCUGAGGGCCACUUUAAAGAGAAGCCUAGCCAUGGCAGCAGAGAUUGGGUAUGA